rnacentral:rRNA from 1 species
GACGAACGCUGGCGGCGUGCUUAACACAUGCAAGUCGAACGGAAAGGCCCAGCUUGCUGGGUGCUCGAGUGGCGAACGGGUGAGUAACACGUGGGUGAUCUGCUCCUAACUUCGGGAUAAGCUUGGGAGACUGGGUCUAUUACCGGUUAGUACAAUCGGUUAGUGUCGGUUGUGGAAAGAUUUGUCGGUUAGGGAUGAGCCCGCGGCCUAUCAGCUUGUUGGUGGGGUAAUGGCCUACCAAGGCGUCGACGGGUAGCCGGCCUGAGAGGGUGGACGGGCACAUUGGGACUGAGAUACGGCCCAGACUCCUACGGGAGGCAGCAGUGGGGAAUAUUGCACAAUGGGCGCAAGCCUGAUGCAGCGACGCCGCGUGGGGGAUGACGGCCUUCGGGUUGUAAACCUCUUUCGACAGGGACGAAGCUUUGGUGACGGUACCUGUAUAAGAAGCACCGGCUAACUACGUG